rnacentral:rRNA from 1 species
CCUACGGGUGGCAGCAGUGGGGAAUAUUGCACAAUGGGGGAAACCCUGAUGCAGCGACGCCGCGUGAAGGAAGAAGUAUUUCGGUAUGUAAACUUCUAUCAGCAGGGAAGAAAAUGACGGUACCUGACUAAGAAGCCCCGGCUAACUACGUGCCAGCAGCCGCGGGAAUACGUAGGGGGCAAGCGUUACCCGGAUUUACUGGGUGGAAAGGGAGCGUAGGCGGUUCAGCAAGUCAGAAGUGAAAGCCCGGGGCGCAACUCCGGGACUGCUUUUGAAACUGUUGAACUAGAUUGCAGGAGAGGUGAGUGGAAUUCCUGGUGUAGCGGUGAAAUGCGUAGAUAUUAGGAGGAACACCAGUGGCGAAAGCGGCUUACUGGACUGUAAAUGACGCUGAGGCUCGAAAGCGUGGGGAGCAAACAGGAUUAGAUACCCUUGUAGUC